UCUGUUGUCUGCCAUUGUUGCUGGUGAACUUUGGCCCUUACCGGGAUUAUGGUGGAGUUGCCUUUGUUUGAGGAGGUACAUGGGAGAUUUUUCAAUGCUGUUGUGCUGUGAGAAAAGGAGGGGCAGCACUUUUGGCUUUUCCAUCCCAUUCAAACCCUCUUAUCUCCUCCUGCCUCUCCUCUGGGCUGUAUUUCAUCAGCAGCCAUCCUGGCACUUGUGGUUGCUCUUUGCCCACUCUCCCAUAUUGAGGUGUGGAGCUGCCAUAACCCUGCCCCAUGCCAAAUGCCAUGUGUGUUCCCCUGCUGACCAAUCUCCUUCUCUUCUGUACCCACCAUUAAAAUAGAUGGAGGAAAAUUAAGCUCAUUUGCUAUCACCUGUAAUUAGCGGGGUUACAUCUCUGAGAUGGUGAAUGGCUUUGGGACCGUUGCCUUUGUUUAGCAAUGUGCAUCAGUGCAAAUGAUUUGGAGGAAAAUUCCAUAAAACAGAAACUACAGACACUCUCUAACUGCUUCUGUAAAUUAAUAUAACAAAGCGAGCCAAGAAAAAAAUUCCCAAAUGUGACUUCUUUGUAAUCUGAUAAGUCUUUGACAAAAAAAAUUUGGCCAUUAUUAUUAUAUGAACAUUUCCUUGCAUCUCCUGGAAGUAUAUAAGGUGAAAAUAGAUACUUGUUCUUGAAAAAUAUCUAUUGUGUGUCGUAAAUCCCUUCAUUCUUAUUUCCUUGAAGCUUAAGAGUUUGCACAGAAAUGCAUUAAGGAAAUUGUCUACUUCUUUAAUUUAUUUUAUUGAUCUAACUACUGGCCUUAUGUUCUAUGCAAUACAUUCAUUCACUUCAAAGGUUUCCUGACUUAGAUGUGCUUGUACCCAGCUCUGUGAGUCUUCCAAAACCAGAUGAACCCAGCACUUUGUGUACCCACACCCACCACACUCACUGGGGAAUGAAGCCAGCCUCUUUCAGGAUAUGCUUUCAGCUCUCUUAAGGAAACAAAUCCAUUUGGACUCUUGGUAAUGCCUUCUCAUUACUUCUAAUGGCUCUAUUUCUAUUCUUACCUAGCAGCUGGAACAGGUAAGAAAGGGCUGCCCAUAUAGGUAAGCUAAAUUCAGUGGUCCUCAGACAGCCCAAAUGAAUUUUGUUAGGUCAAAUGUAAUUUUUAGGAAUGGGAUUUGGGGUCCUCUGUUGAGGAGGUCCUGGUAAGUGCACACUGUUUUGUCUUCUGGCUGAUGGAUGAGUCUGUCUGAUAGCAGUGGCUUGGUUUGUUAUCAUGAGAGUUAAUAGAAAUUCAGCUAUGUAGAAGGAACUUGAAAACAUGCGACCCUACCAUAAGAGAGCUCAGAAGCUGGAAUAUAGGUUGUAUUUAAAGAUCAGAAUACAAGCACACAACCUGAUUUCCCUGUCUGUGAUGAUAUCCUUCUAAAUUAUUCGGAACAUUUCAGAGGUCCUCUCCCAUACAUUUCCUGCGUAAUCUGUAUGCAGCAUCAACAGAAUGUGACUACAGACAUCUUCAUCCACAGCCACUGCACAUCACAGUUGAAGUCCUUGAACUGGUAACACAAACAUUGGGUAUCUAUCCCUCAAAGGUGCAGAGUACUGUCUCAUAGAGGGAAGAUGUGGUCUUAUUAAUUACUUAAUAAUUAAAUACUAAUUAAUGUGCUUAUUAACAACGUGGAUUUACUAGGCAGUAAUGUGAUAACAAAAGUCAUCAAAGGAGAGAAGAAAAAAACAACUCUAUAAGUAGCAUGUCCCAGAAAGAUUAAAGACACAAUGAUAGAUACUUAAUUCUAAGACUUCUCUCUUUUCCAAACCACUUGACUUGUACUGUCAUUCUGUUUGCCAGAAAUUGACAACCUCUUCCUGCAACCAUUGCAUCUCUUCACACUGAGGAAGUGUAAAACCACACCUGAGCUUGUACUAUUUGAGGCAUUUUCCUUGGAAUGUUUUUCUUUGUUACACAGACUUUUCAUUUAGAGGAAGUGGGAGGAAAUCUGCCUUUAAAAAAUAAUGACUACAAUACAAUUCCUGUAAAAUGGAUAAUAAAAGUAACCAACUAGUACUGGCCAGAGGGAUGAUAAUUCAACUUUGUGACAACUUCUGAGGUUUUACAAUUUGUUUUCAUUUUACAAUGGAAUGAAAACAAGACCUUCACAUAUUAUGUAUUCAAUUUAGGUCUUUCUUGCUGCAUUGUCAGGAAUAACCAGGGUGCCCUGGACCUAAGAAUUUUGUCCUUCCAAGUAUUUAAAAAAUGCUGAUGAAUCAGCAUAUUCUCCUGGUGGGAUCGAGCAUUGUAAAUGCUUUGGCCCGAACUUUGCUAACCCUAGAAGUUCAAAAUGAUAUCUUAUGCCCUAAAACUUACAAUUACUUACAAAUAACUUUUAUUUUCUAUGCAUUAUUUCCAGACUGUCUUCUCUAAAGCAUACCUUUUCCCUUCAUCCUCUAUGAAUGUACAUCCAUUUUCCACACUUAUCCGGUUCUUUUCUCCUAUUUUUUUUUCAGCUUUUCUUGUCUCUCAUGCAGCUUCUUAGCACUUUUGACCUUCUGUAGCUUAUGCACAAGAAGCAGUGCUAAGAUAAUGUUUCAUGGUAUGCUGUAGCAGAGGUUGGCUAGGAAAGAGGUGACUGCUGGAUGGACUCUACAACAGAUAGUGGUCACUGCACGGCAGUCCCACAACCAUGCUGCAAAUCCCUGUCUGUCUGCUCUUUGGUUUUAAUUCUUCUCAGAUGGCAUUUUCCAUCAGGCAGAGCUGACAUCCGUGAGAAGGCAGAAACAUCUGCUCCCAUGCCCUGGCCGGCUGCCGCCCUCACCAGCUCAGCAGCACUUUAGGAAACCAGAAGAGCCACACGGUGGGAAGACCCUAUUCUUUGAGGGGAAAACAAGCAGUGUGGAAAAUAGAGAGAAUCAAUUCAUCAAUGCAUUCUGAAAGAUGGAGGCAACAGCAGAAAGGAGAGCAAGAGGUGGAGUGACUUAACAUUGUGCAAAGUAUGAGGUGCUUCUGUAGACGUCUUUGUACAAAUUGUUUCAGGCAGCUCACCAUGACGUAUCAUGAAUGUUAUCACCCAGGGACAAGAUUCCCUUGUGUUCUCAGGAAUUUCCACCCUACUGGGUGUAGUCUCAAAACACGAUUUUCCUUGCAAAAUUGUCUAAAGACUCAUUUUUCAAUCUUUUCUGUUCAUACAUUUAAAUAGGAAGCAGGGGGAAAGAAACUCAGUUGGGAGCAACAUAUGGAGACAACACAAGUUAUUCCUGUUUCACCAUUUUCUUGGCAUUGAUUUCCUCUGUCAAACAAUACUGCAAAUUUGGGACCUCUGUAUUCGUACUCCCCGUUGCUUCUUACUUCCUUGGUAGCAUCAGGAAGGACUUAUGGUAUUGCUACAAGCAGCUCUUACAGGAAAAGAAAUGAAUUGGGAAAUACGCUUCAAAUAAUGGAAGAAUGAAUUAUUUCACCAUUUUAGCCAUUUCCCAGGAGGGAGAGUAGAGGGAAGAAAAUGCAUUUAACACUCUAAAAUAUUAAAAUAACUGGAACCACAUCAACUUCACCCCUCUGGACUUCAACCAAACUGACUGAUUUAGGUAAAUUCCCGGUAGAUCCAAGUGGCAAACUCCAUCAGAGAAUAUUUCUAAGCAUGGCAAGGGAAUUUCUCUAUACUAAUGAUAUUAUGAACUAAAUCAGCUAAUUUGGAGUUCCUUGGACUUAGGCCUGGUUUCUGGCAGAAUAGCAGAAUAUUUUUGAAAUAUGAACUGCCCCUUCAGUGUAGAGUCCAAUCCUGUUUUCAUGGAUGGUAUUCAUGGAAAAUCACUUUCUUGAAGCUGUAUUUCAAAUAUAUUUUUUAAUGAGAGAUAUUAUUCCCUUGAACUUCUGGAAUAGGCUUUAAGUAUUCACAGCAGUAACUAACAGGCAAUGAGAUGAAGGGGACUGUACUUGAUUUCUGAGAUUUACUGGUUACAUAUACAGAACAAAGCAAAGCAGCACUCUUUCUAAAUGUUUAAAUACAGCAUACAAAUACUCUCCUGGAUUUUGUUCAUGUUCUCACUGAAAAUUUUAAUGGCAAUUUUGCAGAAAGCAAAAUACAGGCUACACUGAAAAGAAAUUACAAACAAUUCUAUAGCACCCUUUGUGUUUUGACAUAGCAGUGAAGGUGUUUGGUAGUUCUAGCUAAUUAAAAAGAUGCAAUUACAAAAUACCUGUUUGUGUAGGUGAUAGAUCUUGAACCCUCAGUGAAGUUGGUGUGCUCAAAUGGAGCCAUCUGGGAAGUGGGGUCAUACAACCCAACCUGUCAAUA